rnacentral:rRNA from 1 species
UACGUAGGUGGCAAGCGUUGUCCGGAUUUACUGGGCGUAAAGGAUGCGUAGGUGGAUAUUUAAGUGGGAUGUGAAAUACCCGAGCUCAACUUGGGUGCUGCAUUCCAAACUGGAUAUCUAGAGUGCAGGAGAGGUAAGUGGAAUUCCUAGUGUAGCGGUGAAAUGCGUAGAGAUUAGGAAGAACACCAGUGGCGAAGGCGACUUACUGGACUGUAACUGACACUGAGGCAUGAAAGCGUGGGGAGCAAACAGGG